rnacentral:tRNA from 1 species
GGAAGCGUGCGCGAGUCGGCUUAUGCGGAGAGUUUGCUAAACUCUUGAUCCGGUAACCCCGGAUCCGUGGGUUCGAAUCCCACCGCUUCCGCCA